GCAAUCUAUGAAUCAACCCAAAGCCCAACCAAACGAGGACUUUAAAGUUUGGCUCUGUCUUGAUGUCUCACUGGGCAGCUGAUGUCUGACAUUAUUACGGAGCACUACUGUUGAUGCUCAGCCGCCACCGCUAGUUGGUGUGUAAUGAACGAGCGUGCAUGGGUAAUUGGUCAUCGACGAAAUGGAACCAGGGUUACAUCCAUCUAUGUCAUAUCCCAGAAAAAACGCCAUACAAAGAAUCCUUCUUCCCCUCACCUAUAACUAAAAGAAAAGAAAGAAAGCGGUUAUCGAGAUAAAUGGAAAGAGGGGUAGGAAAGACCACAUACAAGAACUAGGACCUGAUGAAGAGAGGAGUAGGAGAAAGUCGGAAAAUUUUUCAUUAAAAUGGAACCUACUCUUGCAACAAUACUGAGGCAUCACGACGUUGACCACCAGACUGACCCUUCACCUA
rnacentral:sRNA from 2 species